rnacentral:lncRNA from 1 species
CCUCAGCAGAGAUGAUUUGGCUGGAUGAGCAUUUUAUUUUGGCAUUUGAAGAUGGUGUUGGUGGAGCCUUCCAUCCAUAGACUGUAAAAAAAUACAAACAGCACAAAACCAUCCAGUUUUAGGUCCUGGAUCCUCUCCAGUUUCAGAUUAAGGCAGAAACCCUGCUCCUCCAGGAUUGCAGCGUGACCAGUGCCCUGAGAGCAGACGAGUGGGGAGCCAGAAUGACAGUGGCCGCCUCUGCACAGUGGAACACUGGCCCUUGACAGCUGUAGGGGUCUGGAGGAGCUGCUGGCCUGGCGCUUUGCAGGGCUUGUGCUGAGAACUCUUCUCCUUUUUUGGAAAACAAAUCAAAUCCUGCAAGGAAACCUCAGCCUGGACAGAUUUUCCUUGAGAACAAUCCACUCUGAUGUGUGCCUCUCCUUGGUGGCUUUCUGCCACAACCUUUGAAAGUUAAGGCCACUUCAUGCUGCUGUAGGCCACUUCUCUGAGGAGCCCCAGAGUCGCUGAAUCUUGCAAGUGCUGACUGAAAGAAGCCUCCACUUGCCUAACAAAGGGGAAAGAUGACUUAAAUACUCCUUCUCAUCCACCGACACAACCCAAUGGUCCUAUAGACACAAUUACAUCUAACAAGUAUUUUGGGUGUGUUUAAAGCAUGGGCUAGUUAUGAAGGAGAGGAAGGGAUGGUGGGAGCUUUCUUAUUUGCUUUUAAAAUUCUGUAUUUGACAGGAAUACUCUGUGCUGGCAUAACAACGGGACUCUAGCGAACAGUAGCUUUUAUAGGAUAAAAGUUUAGUUCUGGCCAGGCAUGGUGGCUCAUGCCUAUAAUCCCAGAACUUUGGGAGGCCAGGGCGGGCAGAUCAUUUGAGUUCAAGAGUUCGAGACCAGCCUGGUCAACAUGGUGAAACCCUGUCUCUGCUAAAAAUUGAAAAAAAAUAGCUGGGCUUGGUGGCGUGCGCCUGUAGUCCCAGCUACUUGGGAGACUGAGGCAGGAGAAUCGCUUGAACCCAGGAGGCAGAGGUUGCAGUGAGCCGAGAUUACACCACUGCACUCCAACCUGGGAGACAGAGUGAGACUCCAUCAAAAAAAAAAAAAAAAGAAAGAAAGAAAGAAAGUUUAGUUCUGCUUCAUGGACUAGCCCAGAGGUUGUCUGGUAGUCAUUAGUCUGAUAGGGUGGUCCUGCCACUCUCAUUGUAUAUUUCCCUGCUCAGGGUCUCACUCAAACCUCUGUAUUCCAGUUAAAGGAAAGGGGGAAACAAAAGUGUUUGCCCAAGGUUCUCACAUCCCAUUAGCCCAAUACUGGUAGCAUAGCCACCUCCAGUUGCAAGGGAUAUCGGGAAAUGUAGUCUCCAGUGGCAUGCCUAUGUGCCUAGCUAAAAAUAAAAAAAUUCUAUCACUAAAGAACAGAUAUUAAUGGACAUGUCCUGGUCUCUGCCACCCUUUCUUUCACUUAUUCACCUACUCAAGGAAUUACUGAGUGCCAGUCAUAUUUUUGACACCGUUUUUACUCAGUUGCUUAUAAUCCAGCAAUGUAUAUGAACACAUGCUCAGCUAAAGUCACAUUGUGCUGCAUUCUCUAAUAAUUCAAAUGCUAUGGAUCUUCAGGGAAGGAAGGGCUCAUUUCUGUCUGGAGAGAUUUGUCCAUUUGUUUACAGAUUUAUUGAGCACUGUGGUCAGCAGCCUGAAGAUGGCCCCCAGUCAUCUCCACCUCCCAGAAUUCACAUCCUUGUGCAAUCUCCUUUCCUUGAAUGUGUGCUGGACCUAAUGACUCACUUCUAGCAAAUAGAAUACAACAAAAGUGACAAAAUGUCACUUUUGAGAUUAGGUUACAAGAGGACUGGGACUUCCACCUCACUCUUUCUCAGACUUCACUCUGGGGAAAUCCAGCUGCUGUGUUUUGAGAAAUAUUAUGGAGAAACUUCUGCGGCAAGGAAAUAAUAUCUUCAGUCAACAGUCAGCAAGGAUCCUAACGUCUGCCAGCACCAUGUGAUUGAGCUGGAAAGUCGAUUUUCUGAGGACUGCCAACAGCCACCCAAGUGAGCUGGGAAACAGAUCCCCCUGCAGUUGACCCUUGAGGUGACUGUAGCCUGACAGACACCUUGAUUACAGCUUUGUGAGAGAUCUGCACCCUAAUCACCCAACUAAGCUGCACCUGUACCUGAAUUUCUGACUCAGAGAAACUGUGAGAUAAUAAAUAUUGUGAUUUUCAAAUGCUAAGUUUUGGGGUAAUUUGUUAUGCAGCAAUAGAUGACUGAUACAAGUACCUACUGUUUUC